CCAAAUCAAUGGGAUUUUCCACUAACACUUUCUCUCUCUUCGUGGUCUCCACCUCAAUCAGAUUUGACUUCUCCUCUCUUCCCUUCAUUCACUCCCUCAACCGCUCUCUCUCUCUCUCUUCCACCCUUCUCAUUCACGUUUCUUUCCCUCUCUCUCCCAUAAAAACCUUUUCUUCUUCUUCUUUCCUUUCUCUGCAACACCACCAACACCUUCUUCUUCUUCAAUUUAUUUUUCCUGCAACUCAACACCACCACCACGUGCCAAAACCGCGAGCACCACCACCUCCAUGACUCCUUCACGCAGCAACCACCACUGUCCCUGUUCUGUUUUUCCUCACCACCAAAACCCUAGCCGCCGCCCUUUUCCUCCGAUCUCCGGCGAACCACUAGGUUUUUGGAGAAACCUACACCACCACUGAACUCCCCUCCAUCGAUUCGAUGAUCGGCCGCCGCCGGCGAGCUUUGUUCUGAGAAAGGAGGCCAAUUUCUUGAAGCUUUCAACCUCCCCUUCCUGAAUCCAAGGCCCAAUCAUCAGGCUUGCUGGUCAUCAGAGGAAGAGAAGGCCAUGACCAGAGGAAGAAGUGAAGCUCAGUCCCAUGACCAUGAGACUUGAGGUAGAAGGAGGAAGAACUGAACACUGUGAUUAGAAAUUAUAUCAUAAUAGAAAAAAAUAGGAUUGUUGGGUUAUCCAUGUAUUAGUGAGUAAAAUUGGAAAAUAGAAUUACUUAUGCUGCUGUAUAAACUUAAUAUGUAGACAACUCAUCUGUAGAAAAAUGAUUUUUGGUUUGAUAUGUAUGUACAUGAAGACAUUUUCUA